GACAAAUUAGUUUAUUCGGUAAAACAUAACACUCAUAAUGUUAAGUGAAGGGUUCGAAUCCCUUAUUUGUCU
rnacentral:tRNA from 1 species